CGCGUAGGCGGUGUCGCAAGUCCGUGGUGAAAUCUCCAGGCUCAACUUGGAGUCUGCCGCGGAAACUGCGGUGCUGGAGUGUGGAAGAGGUGAGUGGAAUUCCCGGCGUAGCGGUGAAAUGCGUAGAUAUCGGGAGGAACACCUGUGGCGAAAGCGGCUCACUGGACCACAACUGACGCUGAGGCGCGAAAGCUAGGGGAGCAAACAGGAUUAGAUACCCUGGUAGUCCUAGCCCUAAACGAUGGAUGCUUGGUGUAGCGGGUACCCAAUCCCGCUGUGCCGGAGCUAACGCGUUAAGCAUCCCGCCUGGGGAGUACGGUCGCAAGGCUGAA
rnacentral:rRNA from 1 species